rnacentral:rRNA from 1 species
UACGAAGGGUGCAAGCGUUAUUCGGAAUUACUGGGCGUAAAGCGUGCGUAGGUGGUUUGCUAAGUCUGUUGUGAAAGCCCCGGGCUCAACCUGGGAAUGGCAAUGGAUACUGGCAAGCUAGAGUGCGGUAGAGGGUAGUGGAAUUCCCGGUGUAGCGGUGAAAUGCGUAGAGAUCGGGAGGAACACCAGUGGCGAAGGCGGCUACCUGGACCAGCACUGACACUGAGGCACGAAAGCGUGGGGAGCAAACAGG